GUAACGGGUGACACCAAGUUUUUUGAGUUUCUGGUUUUAGAUUGGAUCAUUUGACAUGUUUGGGCAUAACAAAGGAGGAUGUCGACCUCAGCCAGUGCCAGGAGGAUGUCCACCAGGCCCUGCCCCACCACCUUCAUGUCCAUCUCAGCCUGGUUCAUUUCAAUGCUGUCCAGUGACCUCACAUUGUGGAGAAUCUGGAGGUCAUGGCCACGUGGUAGGACCCGGCUGCGGAUCUACUCAUGGACAUGGUGAUGGCCAUGGGCAUGGGCAUGGUCAUGGCCACGGUCAUGGACACCACGGUCAUGGCCAUGGUCAUCAUGACCAUGGACAUCAUGGUCACGGUCAUGGCCAUGGUCAUCAUGACCAUGGGCAUCAUGGUCACGGUCAUGGCCAUGGUCAUCAUGGUCACCACCACAAGCAUAAACAUGGCCACAAGCAUGGUCAUUGUCACAAGAAAGGAAAACAGUGUCAUGGGUCCUCCAGCAGCUCCUGCAGCAGUGACUCUGACUAGAAGACUUCUCCAUGAAACACAUUCCACCUGGAAAUCUUCGUGACACACAACAAAAAUCAUUUUUAUGAUGUAAAAAUCUGGUGUUAACUCAAAUAUAAACCUGUUUUUGGCUCAAGAAAUGCAACCACACUUUUAGAUCAUGUAAAACACACAGUGAGCCUAUAAUGGUGACUUUGUAUCUAUCUCUGUGGUAAUAAAUUUGAAUUUGAGAACAAAGAUGGAUUCAUUUUCUUUAUGGCCUCUUUCUCACUUUUAUGUGUGUCCUGUUAUAGUGGUGGGUACUCAUAUUAAACAUGAUCCCUGUGCAGCCCCUGCUGGCCUAGUGGUGCACGAGUCUUUGUGUGCCGCAUAGGCUUAACUGCUGCUUAUCUAUACUUGAGAAGGUGCGACUAAAAAUCAGUGUGCAGCUGAGUUGGGAGGACUACUCCUAGAUCUCAUCAUUAGCUUAGGUUAUUAGGCUAUUUGAUUAAGAUCUGCUGACUGUGGAGGCCAUUGAAGCACAGAGUACUCAUUGUCAUGUUUAAGAAACCAGUUUGAGACUAUAGGGGCUUUGUUAUGUGGUGUGUUAUCAUGCUGGAAGAAGAUGGGCACACUGUAGUCAUAAAGGGAUGGCAUCAAUGCUCUGGCAGGCUGAGGUGUUUAAAUGCUGCUCAGGUGGUAGUAGAGCCUCUGGCUCUUUUACAGCAGUCAAUGUGCUGACGUGAAGCAGACUUUAAAUAAAUGUAACAAGCAGAGGGUUGUUCCUAACAGUAUCUGAAUUAAAUUAUAAUCAUUCUAAGUGUUUUUUGUAUUAUACUAAAUCAAUCUUAAAAACAGUCAGUCCCCAGAUUUGUGCCACUUUAUAUUUGACCUCAGCUGUUCUGCUUCCUCCCUGUGCCUUAUCUUUAUUUACUCAGGGCAGGUUGGACCUUUGUUCAGUGCUGUUUUUCUCCUAACUGUUACACACCCUGCAGCUCCCAGUACAGCCACUUUAAUUCAGUUUUUAUCACAGUUUAUAGUUUUUUUGUGACAUUUAAUCUGUGUACUGCAUCCUGUGGAUGGAAACUUUGUGUCUUAAUUCCAGUGGGUGGUGCAUUUUUCAUAUCUGAUUACAACAAAAAGUGUGUUCAGUGCACAAGUGAGAUUAAUGUCGCCUUAAACCUGGAAAUAUUAAUUUCUGUGAGAAAAGAAUCAUCUUACGUGUGAGUUUAGAUUUCAGGGAAAUGCAGGAGACAUGUCUCUCCCAAUAUUACAUGUAUUUGUACUUUCUACCCCCAAAUGACACAAUGAAAGAAGUCAAGGACUACUUCUGAAUUGCAACGUGGUACUUUAUUUUCAUGAUUAAGAAAUUUCCAUCACAAAUCAGUGCAGAAUUCAGCAGAAAUGUAACGUGUCUCUUUCAAUAAUAAUAUGAAACCUGCACCGAUGCGCCUGUCUGUUGACUGUGCAUAACGUCUGUGCAGAUGCUCAGCUUUAUAAGCAUUAACAGGUGACACCAAGUAUUCAAAAGUUUUGCAGGACUGCAAAUGAUUAAAAAAAAUCUCUAACCACAGUGCAAAAUAGAUCAUGUGGGUCUGUGGGUGUGCACCCUUAUAAAAUCUAGUUUGCUGACUGUAUAUUAAUGAUUGUACACACACACCCAUGUAGGUCAUAAAACAGAAAAUGGUCUGAUAGGAGUUCAGACUCGGCCCCUGCUUCAGGUGCAGCUGCACAUAAAAAGGAGCAGCAGGCAGCGUCUGCAUCUGCAGAUCUGGUCUCAGCACUCGGUAUGUUCACCUGUGAUACACCUGUGAUAUACCCGUGAUACUCUUGUCUUUGUGUUUAUCAAAGAUUUUAAUUUAAAACCUGUCUUUUUAUUCUUCAGGACCUGCAGUUUCUCCUGGUAACGCAGCAAAAUGUACGGACACAACCAAGGUAAACACGACUCUUUUAGCUCGCCCCCUCAAUCAUCACCUUGAACUUACAGCUGAUUCCUCAUUUCUCCUUUGUUUUAGGCCCACCUGGUUACCCGAACUAUCCUCCGCAGGGGGGUUGCCCUCCGCAGGGGGGUUACCCUCCACAGGGUUGUCCUCCAGGGACUGUCCCACCAACCUGUCCUCCUCAGCACCAUGGGCCACAUGGAGGACACGGACAUGGGCACGGACCUGGUUCUGGUUGUUGUCAAGGCCAAGGAUCCUGCCAAGGGCACGGGCACGGACAUGGACAUGGACACGGACAUGGACAUGGACAUGGACAUGGACACAAGGACAAGAAAAAGGACAAGAAAAAGGACAAACAUAAGCACAAGCACGGUCACAAGCAUGGCCACUGUCACAAGAAAGGAAAGGACAGCCACGGGGUAAGACUGAUUGCACCGAACCAGAAAUUCAAAGUGUGACAUAUAACAUGAGAAAUUUUUACAACACAACCAAAUUGUGGACUUGCAACUCACAGGAAAACACAGAAAUGUAUUUUUCAUAGUGUUUUUGCAAAACUUGCAAGACCUGCUUAAAAUGCUAGAUAAACUUUGACAAACUGAGCUUCUCGUGAGUUUUGAUGAAUAACACGACUCAUGUUGUCUGUUGUAGUCUUCCAGCAGCUCCUGCAGCAGCGACUCCGACUAGAUGGACAAAACCCGGAAACCUUCAUGCUCCUGUCUCAUCAUCUUGAGCUUUAACACAGUUUUGCUUAAAAAAAAAAAUCAGUCCAGCUUUUGUCAGAAAAUAAUAAUAAUCUAAACUUUGAUGGAUACCAAAUUAAUCAUCUGUCAAGUUACUUUAGAUCAUUGUGAGCUUUAACAAGCAUUAUUUUAUCCAGUGUUUGUCAGCAAAGAAAUAAAAGUGAUUUCAGUGCCUGGUCAGUUUUUUUUUUUUUAAAUUAAUCUCACCCUGUCUUGUUUUUAUACAAUACCCCAUAUCCCUUUGUUUUUUUUAUUGGUUUUGUUUGACCAUAUAACCAAACUUUAUUUACCCAGGUGACUGAACUCAUUUGAUCAGCCACACCUUGCUCACAGCGGUGCUCCACACCCUGAAACUGCCACUGUUGUGACUCUUAUCUCAUGAUAGCUUUUGCAAAUCAGCUGUUUACAUGGAAAAGUUCACAGACCUGCUGCCUCUUGUUUUUGCAUGUAGAAAUGUUACUGAAAGGUGCACACUCACUCUGUGGUGAAGAUGAAUUCAUUCUUUAUUUAAGCAGAAAAACUGCUUAAUGUAAAUAUAAUUUGAAGUUUAACACACAAAGUAUUAGCAGAAAAAACCCCAAAUUGAUUCCACCUUAAUGUGCUUAUUUUUUUUCUUGUUGCAAAGAUAACUGUGUGUACAGUACACCCAGGGCUACUUUGAUAUUUAAAUCAUAUUUUUAAAGUUGUUCGUAUAGUUGGUUUGCAAAGAUAUGUCUUUAAAGGAGCCUCAGUAGAUAAAACUCAAGCCAAUGCUAGGAAUACUUUGUCUCUAUCCUCAAAAUUCAAUUUGUUUCUCACGACAGCGUUGCUCUGGGUGCUCACAGGUUAAUAAUUAAGGAUUUAUUAUGUCUGGAAAAUAUACUCAGACUUGUGGGUUUUACUGUGCUUUCUCAUGAAUAAGGGGCUGACCAAUUUUAGCUUUUGUUUGUUUUAUUUUAUUAAAUUCACUUGUGUUUUGUUGAUGGGUCAUGUCGCCAUGAGUUAUAAUGCGGAGAUGUUGGUUUAAACAAACAAAUAAUGAGUAUUUAUUUGGUGUUAAGCAAAAAAAUCUAUGAAGCAGGAAUGCACAGACUGAAAACAGGGAAACCAACAGUGAUUUGGUGAAGAGCAACGGGUAGGCCAGACUACGUGGACACAGGGAGUGAAGUAAACAGUAAACAACUGAUAACAACAGGAGGGAGGAGGGAAAAGGAAUCUAGAUGCCAAAAAACACCUAAUGUUUGGCAUAAAACAGCAAAUAAACCAAACAGCAACUGACACUAAAGAGUUAGAGACAGGAAAGCUCAACAUAACUAGAGUGGUAAUAAAAUCAAAACCAGAGCCAGAAACAAAACCCUGGAACUACGACACAUGAUAUCAGACAUGCAAAAAUUCACUUAGCUUGUUUAAAGCACACAAAAGCAGACAAAGAGGCAGAUUAUCGGGUUCCAACAAAGGAGAGGCAGGUAUUACUCACAAAAAAUACUUACUUGUGCAAACCCAGCACUUUUGGACAAAGCAGUUCUCCAGUGACUUUAUUAAUAAAGAGACCUCAUUGAUGCGUCAUUUCGGGUGAACAUCAAUGAGGGUGAACAUUUUCCUUAUUAAUGAAUUAUCUGAAUUAAAAAAAACCUUUUUAUAUAUUUUAGUUGCUUUAAGUCAAAUUUUUUGCUUUUUUCUGGUUUAUUGAAGGUGCAGAAUCAUGUUUGAGUUCAGGCUCAAUGCUUCUGCAUAUAAAAUCAAUUUGGUGCGUAAUAUAAGUUUUUAGUACCACAUGUUACCCAUUCCAGCUGUGGAGAGACUAGCACAUCUGUAUUUCUUUACUAGAAUGUUCUCUGUGUUUCUCUUAAUCUGGGCCUUUGAGUCUGUAAUAAAUAUGUGUGUCAUCUUCAGUCGCCAGCAGGUGGCGGUGUGGCACAAACACACCGCGGAGAGACGCUCUGGCGUCACCGACACCCACCAAUCAGCGGGAGCUCAUCCCCGCUUCCAGGAAGUAAACGUAGAAACCCGAGGCUGUAGAGGUUCUGCUAUUGACCCCGC
ensembl:lncRNA